rnacentral:rRNA from 1 species
GUCUGUACGUUAAAUAUGUACAGUCUGGCCUGCCCACUGAGGGUUUAAAGGGCCGCGGUAUAUUGACCGUGCGAAGGUAGCAUAAUCAGUAGUCCUUUAAUUGGGGGCUUGAAUGAAUGGUCGGAUGAAAUAUUAACUGUCUUUACUUUUAAAUAUAAUUUAACUUUUAAGUGAAAAGGCUUAAAUUUAUUGGGGGGACGAUAAGACCCUAUAAAACUUUAUACCAGGGCCUAAAUCUUGGGAUUUAAGAUUUAAACUUAGUUUUAGUCUUUAGUAUUUUGUUGGGGAGACAAAAAUAUAAUUGUAACUGUUUAGUAAAUAUAAUACAUAUAAGUAGACUGUGAUCCUCUUCUAGGGAUUAUAAGUUUAAGUUACUUUAGGGAUAACAGCGUAAUUUUCUUUGAGAGUUCUUAUCGACAAGAGUAGUUGCGACCUCGAUGUUGAAUUAAAAUUUUAGUGGGGCGUAGCCGCUCUACUGGUAGGUCUGUUCGACCUUUAAAAUUUUACAUGAUUUGAGUUCAAACCGGUGUGAG